rnacentral:lncRNA from 1 species
CAUCAUUCAAGUCAAUAUUCACCAUUGGAUCUUACUGAGAUUAAAUCUCAGCCCUUUAAACUCCUUAAAAAAACUGCUAUUGUAGCAGUUUAGGGUGGUUCUUUUCAGUUUCCUUCAUUGGUGGUUACCUCCCCCAUUAUCUCCACAAUUCCUCACGUAGCCUGUUACUCCCCUCCUCAGAUCUAUUAAGUAUGCGAUCAAUUCCAUCCUCACUCUUAUUUCUUAUUUCUUGCGAUCAAUUCCAUCUUCACAUACCACUAUCUCGCUUUUGGAUUGAGAAAGACACAAGCUCCCCUGACACGCACCGGAAGAGAAUUUUUUAGCAGUUUAUUUUGGUGAUUGUGGGAUUCACACUUCUUGCAGCGUCCUCAUUUCUCCCAAACUUGAAUGUUGGCAUGCCUUCCUUCUCUCUAACUCAACCUUUUAACAGGUAAUGCCCGGUACUAAUGUGAAAUUAGGAUUUUAGGGUUCAUAUUUGGUUUAUUAUCGCAAUUGCAAUUUGUAUUCGAGACAGAGAUGGAGCAAUGUCCAAGCCAAAGUAAAGUUGUUAAUGAACAACUGUCAGUUGCAAUUGAAGGUUCUCCCCCCUAGAAGUUUGAGUUUCAGUUGAGUUCAGUUGUUCAUCUGUUCGACUCAGGAAGAAGAACUUAGGGCUCCGAUUCAUGACCUUCAAAUUCAACAGAUUCACUGAUAAUUUAGAUCAACUGAUUUAUAGAGGUUCGCUAAUUCGAUUGCUGAAAGAUAACUACGAAAGUGUGUGAAUUUUUUCAAAAGUGUUGAAAUUACUGCAAACUUAUGAACUUCAUCAAAUAUGGCACAUCUUCAAACUCACCCGGUUUGGCAAUCUGUACAAAAAUUGAAAUUCAAAUUAUUUGAUACUCAGUUGAGCAUCAGGUUUGUGUAGCUUAUGUUCAAAUUGAUUCUUUGUGUUACAAAAGUCAGUCAUCGACUACUGCAUUCUGAUUGUUACAUUGAAUCAUUGCUCAUGUAUUGAUUUUCUUUGUUCAAACAUUAAAUUUUAUGAACUGGUAUUUCAUUUCAUUCAAAUAUUGUGAUAAUGCUUGAAUUCAAGAAGUGAUGUUCCAAUUGAUUAAAACUGGCGCUACAAAUCAGAUAAGCUUUCGAAUUGCAACGUAUUGAGCGUCACAUGUUUUUUUUACACAUCACAAGCCACAUGAUGACUUGCUAAGAAAAGUUGAAUCACAUAAUAUUAGAAUUAUGAAUUGCAACCACCACAAAUGGUGUCAUUCAGCAAUGAACUAACCUUCAAGCUUCAUGUUUUUGAACCAUCAAGGAAUAUCUCAUAUCUGUAGUGAAGUAAACCUCUGAUGCAUAUUGAGGAUUCAAUGAU